GCUUCAAUGCAGCUAGAGCACAUAGUCACAACACAACCAUACACUUUUACUCUAUUUAUAUUCUUAGGCUUUUUUCUUUUUACCCUGUAUAUUUAAAUGGGAAACAAUAUCUGCAAUCUUCUUCGCAGACGGUGUUCUCUUGUUCAGUGGAUCUAUUAUUAUAGGGAGAUAAUAAUAAUAAUAUAUGAGAUCAUUGUGUGUGAGGAUUACAGAAGUUGAGAUAAGGGUUUAUAUGAACGAAAAGCUUCCGGCGAAAAAAACGCUGCGGUGGUACUAUAACCGCCGGUAAACCAUUUCAACCCAAGAGAGUAACCGCCGGUAAACCGUUUCAACCGAAAAGAGUAACCGCCGACCACCGGGAAAAAAGCCGUCAUCUCCGGCGAUGGUUAAGCAGCCGGAGAUCGGAGGAACCGCGUCAUCGCUAAUGAUGAUGAGAAUGAUUGUGGCACCCGUAACCGGUGAGUUGAAUCGCCGGAGGAAGGUUCGGAAGAAUUGGUGGAUAUCAAAGUGGAUUCCGGUAAAUCUCAGCGGAGAGUCUUGUAGAUGAUUUCAGAUUGCCGGUAAUCUCAAUUGGUUAGAGCCUCGUACUGAUAACGUGAUAAGAAACUAAUCUGACUAAUGUGGAAAUUGUAUUGAAUCUUGAAUAUUAUUCCCAUACUCAAUUACAGAUCUAUACAUACGUCUCUAUAACAAAUGGUGAAACCGACAUACAGAUGGUAACCGUCAAAUAGUUAUUAGGGGAUGUUAAUGGCCAAACAGUUAUUAUAUAACUGCCAAAAGAGUUAUUAGGGGAUGUAUAUCUGGUUUUCUAACAAUUAUUAUUUAUUAUGGUUAUCAACACCUAAAAUAGAUUAGGCUUAUUCUCCAAGUUACAUCUUCAUAUAUAUACCAUUGUAUAUUUUGUAUUAUAUACAUAUCAAUUAAUGAAAUAUUAAAUCUCUUCUCUCUAUUA